UACGUAGGGUGCAAGCGUUGUCCGGAAUUAUUGGGCGUAAAGGGCUCGUAGGCGGUCCGUCACGUCGGGAGUGAAAUCCUGGGGCUUAACCCCAGAACUGCUUCCGAUACGGGCAGACUAGAGGUAGGCAGGGGAGAGCGGAACUCCUGGUGUAGCGGUGGAAUGCGCAGAUAUCAGGAAGAACACCGGUGGCGAAGGCGGCUCUCUGGGCCUUACCUGACGCUGAGGAGCGAAAGCGUGGGUAGCGAACAGG
rnacentral:rRNA from 1 species